rnacentral:rRNA from 1 species
GACGAACGCUGGCGGCGUGCUUAACACAUGCAAGUCGUACGGUAAGGCCCUUUCGGGGGUACAAGAGUGGCGAACGGGUGCGUAACACGUGUGUAACCUGCCCACAACUUUGGGAUAACGCUAGGAAACUGGUGCUAAUACUGGAUAUGUUCUCCUGCUGCAUGGUGGGGGUUGGAAAGCUCCGGCGGUUGUGGAUGGACUCGCGGCCUAUCAGCUUGUUGGUGGGGUAGUGGCCUACCAAGGCGGCGACGGGUAGCCGGCCUGAGAGGGUGAACGGCCACAUUGGGACUGAGAUACGGCCCAGACUCCGACGGGAGGCAGCAGUGGGGAAUAUUGCACAAGGGGCGCAAGCCUGAUGCAGCAACGCCGCGUGCGGGAGGACGGCCUUCGGGUUGUAAACCGCUUUCAGCAGGGACGAAGCUUUUUGUGACGGUACCUGAAGAAGAAGCACCGGCUAACUACGUG